AGCAUAUUUUGCGAUGGCGGAGCUCGACCGCCCCGGCAGAUGAUGAUGGCGUUUAUCGACGCCCAUCGCGAGGAUUUGGGGAUCGAGCCGAUCUGCCGCGAGCUGGCAAUGGCCCCU
rfam:Sphingobium sp. TCM1 TCM1_contig_11, whole genome shotgun sequence.